rnacentral:rRNA from 1 species
GACGAACGCUGGCGGCGUGCUUAACACAUGCAAGUCGAACGGAAAGGCCCUGCUUUUGUGGGGUGCUCGAGUGGCGAACGGGUGAGUAACACGUGAGUAACCUGCCCUUGACUUUGGGAUAACUUCAGGAAACUGGGGCUAAUACCGGAUAGGAGCUCCUGCUGCAUGGUGGGGGUUGGAAAGUUUCGGCGGUUGGGGAUGGACUCGCGGCUUAUCAGCUUGUUGGUGGGGUAGUGGCUUACCAAGGCUUUGACGGGUAGCCGGCCUGAGAGGGUGACCGGCCACAUUGGGACGGAGAUACGGCCCAGACUCGUACGGGAGGCAGCAGUGGGGAAUAGUGCACAAUGGGCGGAAGCCUGAUGCAGCAACGCCGCGUGCGGGAUGACGGCCUUCGGGUUGUAAACCGCUUUCGCCUGUGACGAAGCGUGAGUGACGGUAAUGGGUAAAGAAGCACCGGCUAACUACGUG